GUUGAUCAGUGGCGAACGGGUGAGUAACACGUGAGUAACCUGCCCUUGACUCUGGGAUAACUCCGGGAAACCGGGGCUAAUACCGGAUACGAGACGCGACCGCAUGGUCGGCGUCUGGAAAGUUUUUCGGUCAAGGAUGGACUCGCGGCCUAUCAGCUUGUUGGUGAGGUAAUGGCUCACCAAGGCGUCGACGGGUAGCCGGCCUGAGAGGGCGACCGGCCACACUGGGACUGAGACACGGCCCAGACUCCUACGGGAGGCAGCAGUGGGGAAUAUUGCACAAUGGGCGAAAGCCUGAUGCAGCGACGCCGCGUGAGGGAUGAAGGCCUUCGGGUUGUAAACCUCUUUCAGUAGGGAAGAAGCGAAAGUGACGGUACCUGCAGAAGAAGCGCCGGCUAACUACGUGC
rnacentral:rRNA from 1 species